GAUGAACGCUGGCGGCGUGCCUAACACAUGCAAGUCGAGCGAAGCACUUACUUUAGAUUUCUUCGGACUGACGAAGUUUGUGACUGAGCGGCGGACGGGUGAGUAACGCGUGGGCAACCUGCCCUGUACAGGGGGAUAACAGUUAGAAAUGACUGCUAAUACCGCAUAAGCCCACAGCGUCGCAUGAAGCAGUGGGAAAAACUCCGGUGGUACAGGAUGGGCCCGCGUCUGAUUAGCUAGUUGGUAAGUUAGCGGCAUACCAAGGCGACGAGCAGUAGCCGACCUGAGAGGGGGACCGGCCACAUUGGGACUGAGACACGGCCCAAACUCCUACGGGAGGCAGCAGUGGGGAAUAUUGCACAAUGGGGGAAACCCUGAUGCAGCGACGCCGCGUGAGAGAUGAAGUAUUUCGGUAUGUAAAGCUCUAUCAGCAGGGAAGAAAGUGACGGUACCUGACUAAGAAGCCCCGGCUAACUACGUG
rnacentral:rRNA from 1 species